rnacentral:rRNA from 1 species
UUCCGGUUGAUCCUGCGGAGGCCAUUGCUAUCGGGCUCCGACUAAGCCAUGCGAGUCAAGGGGCUCCUUCGGGAGCACCGGCGGACGGCUCAGUAACACGUGGACAACCUACCCUCGGGUGGGGGAUAACCUCGGGAAACUGAGGCUAAUACCCCAUAGGCCUCGGGUACUGGAAGGUCCUGAGGCCGAAAGCUCCGGCGCCCGAGGAUGGGUCUGCGGCCUAUCAGGUAGUUGGUGGUGUAAAGGACCACCAAGCCUGCGACGGGUACGGGCCCUGAGAGGGGGAGCCCGGAGAUGGACUCUGAGACACGAGUCCAGGCCCUACGGGGCGCAGCAGGCGCGAAACCUCCGCAAUGCGCGCAAGCGCGACGGGGGGACUCCGAGUGCCCUGGCCUUUGGUCAGGGCUUUUCCGGAGUCUAAAAAGCUCCGGGAAUAAGGGCUGGGCAAGACGGGUGCCAGCCGCCGCGGUAAUACCCGCAGCUCGAGUGGUGGCCACUAUUAUUGGGCCUAAAACGUCCGUAGCCGGUCUGGUAAAUGCCUGGGUAAAUUGGCGGGCUUAACCCGUCAAAUUCCAGGCAGACUGCCAGACUUGGGACCGGGAGAGGCCGGAGGUACUCCCGGGGUAGGGGUGAAAUCCUGUAAUCCCGGGGGGACCACCUGUGGCGAAGGCGUCCGGCCAGAACGGGUCCGACGGUGAGGGACGAAGCCCAGGGGCGCAAACCGGAUUAGAUACCCGGGUAGUCCUGGGUGUAAACGCUGCCCGCUUGAUGUUGGGCAAGCUUCGGGCUUGCCCAGUGUCGGAGCGAAGGUGUUAAGCGGGCUGCCUGGGGAGUACGGCCGCAAGGCUGAAACUUAAAGGAAUUGGCGGGGGAGCACUGCAACGGGUAGAGCGUGCGGUUUAAUUGGGGGAACGAGAAAGAUCG